GGAGCCGGGGAAGGCCCAGUCAGUCCACACUGGUCUCUCUGCCUUCAUCAUUCCCUCUGGUGCCCUGGGUCCACCCGGCUGGGUGGGGACCCUGACUACAAGCAGCGGACCACUUUGAGGGCUCCAAAAGGACCGGUGUCCUCGUAAGAAGAGGUGCCUCCAGGGAUGCGCGCACACAGAGGAAGCCAAGAGGACACAGGGGGAGAAGGCAGCCGUCUGCAAGUGGAGGAAAGGGGCCUCAGCAGAAACCGACCCUGCCAGCACCUGAUCUUGGACUUCCAGCCCCAGCACCGGUCUAACCGAAUAGGAACAGAAGGCUGGGGUCGGCUUCCAAGGCUGCGAAACCUCGGAAGGCCCCCAGGGCUGCGAAGAUGACUUAUGUGUGCCAGACCCCAGCUCACCUCUGGCUCCCUCGUUGUCCUCUCCGCCCCCCCACCCCUA